UUUUUGAGUUGAGCACCAUCCGGGAUACGAACUCACACCCUCAUGUGGAAGUCGCGGUGGCUCAGCGGAUUAGGCCUCUAACUUUGUGUGCUGGCGAUUAGGUGACGGACUCUGAGGGUGUGGGUUCGAAUCCCGGAUGGGACCCA